CAUUCUUGUUGACGCUUAGGCAUGGCAGUUCUUAGCCAAGAAUUGAGGAUUAUUCUGUUUUCUUGAUGACUGCUUAGAAAAUAUAUGUUUUCUUGCUGUGAGUAGUGUAUUUUACAAAAUAUGGCAGCUUGUGGUCUCAGUCUUCUUGAGAAGAAUGGCAGUGGCUUUUACUAAAAUAUUUCUUAGACUGAAAAUGAGAAAAUGAGUAUGUAUGCACAGAGGAACGUGGAGGGCAUGAGGGUGCACAUUCCAAACCGCCUGUGCUGGUGCGGUGAUGCAAAGCAGCUAUGUCGUGGUGUGUUGACCAGCAAGAGCUUCUGCUUUGGCUCCGAGAGCAUUUUCAUAAACGAAGCCCAUACAGUGGCUUCGUGCAGCAAAAACUGACUGGACGGCAUCCUGUUAUGAAGGAGUGUUUGAGACAGCCUAAAAAAUCAUUGGCAAGGGUAUCAAUAAAAGCCAGGUUUAAUAUUAAGCGACAGCAUGACAAAGUUCAUUGGCAAGAUUCAUUCUACUACUUACAGGGCAGUUAAGGCACAGCAAAGAAAAACAGGCAACAACAAAACCAAAUGAAAUCCAGGCAAUCAAAACAGAAAUUAACUGAGAAAUGAACAUCUAGGGAUGAGUAUGUUCAUGUGAUAAAAGGGUGGUGAGAGUGAGGAUAAAAAGGAACAAUGGCCUGAAACAUCAUUUAACAGCACUCAGCAGUACUUUAACUUAACUUACACCUUUACCUUAAACCAAAUAAUUUAACAAAUGAACAGCAGUUAAUUUAUAUCUAACUUAACUUACACUUUAAACUUAUGACUUAACCAUGGCAAUUUAACAGAGGAAUAACACUUAAUAGUAUUUAACCUUACUUACAACUUUGAAGUUAUACUUAGCAACUCAGCAAAAGACCAACACUUAGCAGUAUUUAAGUAAGGUUAAGUAGUAUGUCACAAGCUUAUUACGGGCCUAUCUCACUUCAAUAUCCAAGGUACUUAAACAUCUAAGAAAGCAGCAUUCCUCUCAGAUUUACUGUACCAUAUGUAUGCACACAGGCAUAAAGAGUCAGUGCAGGCAAGGCAGCUGUGAAAAAUUCCCCUAAGAGGUCAGUGAAAUACUUGCUUUGAAUGCCCUGCUUCUCUUGAGGGGUGAAGGGGUUGAGCCUCGAGGAGUGGAGGUGUAAGUCCAGGAUUCGUUGUUUGGUGAUCCUCCAGGUUUGGCAAACAUGAGUGUUCUCUGGCUCUGAGAGGCCCCAGUCAGAUGGAGGUCACUGGUCACAGCCCACUGCAGCCAAGAGGAGCUCAAAGGACUCAUUUUGGGUGACUGUUUAUAGGGUCACAAGAGAGUGGGCUUUAGUCAUAACUGUGUUUCAACCUGCCUGCAGUUUGGGUCAGCACUUUCUCUGAAAAUGUAAGAACAGCAGCAUUAUGCCAUUCAGACAAGAAAAAUUUUCCAAGGCUGUUCAUAAGGAAAACAGGAGCUGGUUAGCCAUUCCUGGGAGCAGACAGUGUUUCUGGUUAAGCUCGAGAGGAGCUAAGCUCGGGUGCUGUUUUCAAGGCUGAGGCCUAACAAGCAUUUCUCCGAUCUCAACGAGGCCUGGAAAGGGGAUGGAGGGCAAUGCACCACCACAAAGCCUGAUAAAACCUGGAAAGCUGAUAACCCUCACAGGUGACUGACUACAGUCCUGUUAGCCCAACCUCAGGCAUUGUACUACUUUGAAGUAGAAGGUUAUAAAUGCAAGACUACAAUGCAACAACCAAGAUGCAUUAGAGAAGUGAAUGGAGGAAUUUCUCUAAACUAAGGAAAUGCAGUUCUUACCCAUUUGGAUCUCUAGGACAAUAGUUUGUAUGGUGCUUACAUGUAAAGUUAUUCCUUCCUCCUGAAGGAUAGGAGAUUUAGGUUGAGGCUAAAAAAGGCUCAUUUAGCUGUAGGCUAAGACGUGCUGGCAGAGCAAGUUGUCCCUUAUGCUCUCCAAUUACUCUGUUGGUCCAUGUUACUGAGAGCAACUGCUGCGCCACAUUACAGAGCAUGGAAAUACGGGUGCUGUGACCUUCGUGUACUUCAGUGUCACUCUUGGUCAGUUAAUUAACUUUUUAAAUUAGAUUUAUGUAAUGCAAAUAGUAUUGCUGCUGUUUGAAGAAAAUUUGCCUCACAGCUCCAGCCUUUACCUAAUGCAUAGUCAGAAAUGGCCAGAAGAAAUCAUGCCUUAAUGUCAUCUUUUCACAACUCAGUGGUUUUCUAAAUGGUAACAUAUUUGUGAGGCUGGAAUACUUGACAGUACAUUAAACCCCCUUCUCAACUGGUCGUCUUUAAUACUGUUGCUACUACUACUACUAAUGUGAAAUGCAUUACCUUCAUUAUACCAGUGCAAAAAUAGGCCAAAAAUUGGGUUUUCUACAUUUGUUACAACUUGUGAAAAACAAUGAGGCCCAUCUGAUGCCUUAAAUUGUUGCAUUAUGGCAUUUGUUCUGCAUACUUCCCAGGCUGUUUCUUUAGGCAGGAUGCUCUUAAAGCCUUUUUCUUCAUUAAGCAGCUGAGUGUUAUAGCGAAAUGGUUCCUUAGGUUUCU